rnacentral:rRNA from 1 species
GAAUAAGCACCGGCUAACUCCGUGCCAGCAGCCGCGGUAAUACGGAGGGUGCAAGCGUUACUCGGAAUCACUGGGCGUAAAGGACGCGUAGGCGGGAUGCCAAGUCUGAUGUGAAAUCCUAUGGCUUAACCAUAGAACUGCAUUGGAAACUGGUAACCUAGAGUAUGGGAGGGGGAGAUGGAAUUAGUGGUGUAGGGGUAAAAUCCGUAGAUAUCACUAGGAAUACCGAAAGCGAAGGCGAUCUCCUGGAACAUUACUGACGCUAAGGCGUGAAAGCGUGGGGAGCAAACAGGAUUAGAUACCCUGGUAGUCCACGCCCUAAACGAUGUUCACUAGUCGUCGGGAUGCUAGUCAUCUCGGUGAUGCACUUAACAGAUUAAGUGAACCGCCUGGGGAGUACGGUCGCAAGAUUAAAACUCAAAGGAAUAGACGGGGACCCGCACAAGUGGUGGAGCAUGUGGUUUAAUUCGAAGAUACGCGAAGAACCUUACCUAGCCUUGACAUUGAAGAAACACUUUAGAGAUAGAGUGGUGCCCUUCGGGGAAUCUGAAAACAGGUGCUGCACGGCUGUCGUCAGCUCGUGUCGUGAGAUGUUGGGUUAAGUCCCGCAACGAGCGCAACCCUCGUCCUUAGUUGCCAGCAGGUUAAGCUGGGCACUCUAAGGAGACUGCCUUCGUAAGGAGGAGGAAGGUGAGGACGACGUCAAGUCAUCAUGGCCCUUAUGGCUAGGGCUACACACGUGCUACAAUGGGGCGUACAGAGUGUUGCGAUACCGCGAGGUGGAGCUAAUCACUUAAAGCGUCUCUCAGUUCGGAUUGGAGUCUGCAACUCGACUCCAUGAAGCUGGAAUCACUAGUAAUCGUAGAUCAGCAAUGCUACGGUGAAUACGUUCCCGGGUCUUGCACACACCGCCCGUC